rnacentral:rRNA from 1 species
CCGUAAUAAUUGACCGUACCGCAAACCGACACAGGUGGGCAGGUUGAAAAUACCAAGGCGCUUGAGAGAACUCAGGAGAAGGAACUCGGCAAAUUGAUACCGUAACUUCGGGAGAAGGUAUGCCCCGGUAGCUUGUAGUCGUACAGACGAAGGGCGAUGGGGCCGCAGAGAAUCGGUGGCUGCGACUGUUUAAUAAAAACACAGCACUCUGCAAACACGAAAGUGGACGUAUAGGGUGUGACGCCUGCCCGGUGCCGGAAGGUUAAUUGAUGGGGUGCAAGCUCUUGAUCGAAGCCCCGGUAAACGGCGGCCGUAACAAUAACGGUCCUAAGGUAGCGAAAUUCCUUGUCGGGUAAGUUCCGACCUGCACGAAUGGCGUAACGAUGGCCACACUGUCUCCUCCUGAGACUCAGCGAAGUUGAAAUGUUUGUGAAGAUGCAAUCUCCCCGCGGCUAGACGGAAAGACCCCAUGAACCUUUACUGUAGCUUUACAUUGGACUUUGACGGGACUUGUGUAGGAUAGGUGGGAGGCUUUGAAGCCGGGACGCUAGUUCCGGUGGAGCCAUCCUUGAAAUACCACCCUGGUGUCGUUGAGGUUCUAACCUUGAUCCGUGAAUCCGGAUCGGGGACCGUGUAUGGUGGGCAGUUUGACUGGGGCGGUCUCCUCCCAAAGAGUAACGGAGGAGUACGAAGGUCUUCUAGGUACGGUCGGACAUCGUACUGAUAGUGCAAUGGCAAAAGAAGGCUUGACUGCGAGACCCACAAGUCGAGCAGGUGCGAAAGCAGGUCAUAGUGAUCCGGUGGUUCUGUAUGGAAGGGCCAUCGCUCAACGGAUAAAAGGUACUCUGGGGAUAACAGGCUGAUUCCGCCCAAGAGUUCACAUCGACGGCGGAGUUUGGCACCUCGAUGUCGGCUCAUCACAUCCUGGGGCUGUAGCCGGUCCCAAGGGUAUGGCUGUUCGCCAUUUAAAGUGGUACGUGAGCUGGGUUUAAAACGUCGUGAGACAGUUUGGUCCCUAUCUGCCGUGGGCGUUGGAAGUUUGAGGGGACCUGCUCCUAGUACGAGAGGACCGGAGUGGACAGAUCUCUGGUGUACCGGUUGUCACGCCAGUGGCAUCGCCGGGUAGCUAAAUCUGGAAGAGAUAACCGCUGAAAGCAUCUAAGCGGGAAACUCGCCUCAAGAUGAGACUUCCCUGGGGAUUCGAUCCCCCUGAAGGGUCGUUCAAGACCAGGACGUUGAUAGGUCAGGUGUGGAAGC